GGUCUCUCUAUGGAUUGUAAAGCUCUUUUCAGCCGGGGAAGAUCAUUGUACCGCGGAACCGAUAGAAGAAGCCCCGGGUAACUUCCUGCCCGCAGACGCGGUAAUACCUACGGGGCUAGCGUUGUUCGGAUUUACUGGGCGUAAAGGGCACGCAGGAUUAUUAAUAAUUCAGGGGUGAAAUCCCGGUUCUCAACCCCGGAACUGCCUUUGAUACUGCUACCGUUGAGUAUGAUAGAGGAGAGUGGAAUUCCGAGGGUAAAGAGGAAAUUGGAAUAUAUUCGGAGGAACACCAAUGGCGAAAGAUGCUCACUGGACCAUUACUGACGCUGAGGUGCGAAAGCGUGGGUAGCAAACAGGAUUAGAUACCCUGGUAAUCCACGCCGAAAACAUACCCUGUUAGCCGUUGCCGGAGUUUACUCUUCGCUAGGUGCAGCUAACGCAUUAGCCCCUCCGGCCUGGGGGAGAACGCAUUAAGCACUCCGCCCUGGGGGAGA
rnacentral:rRNA from 2 species